rnacentral:misc_RNA from 1 species
GGCUUUUAUCAGGUACAUGAUUUCUUCAAAUAUGGGGGAAGUAGCCUCUAUAUUUUUAACUGCAGCUUUAGGCAUACCUGAAGGCCUUGUGCCUGUCCAGCUUUUAUGGGUAAAUCUUGUUACUGAUGGACCACCAGCCACAGCCUUGGGAUUCAAUCCUUCAGAUAAGGACAUAAUGAAAAAGCCCCCUCGUAGAAAAAAUGACUCUCUCAUAACUGCUUGGAUUUUAUUCCGUUAUCUGGUGAUUGGGAUUUAUGUUGGGAUAGCAACAGUAGGUGUCUUCAUCGUUUGGUAUACACAGGGUUCCUUCUUGGGGAUUGACCUUACUGGAGAUGGUCACACCCUGGUUACAUACUCGCAGCUCGCCAACUGGGGUCAGUGCUCAUCCUGGGAGGAUUUUUCGGUAUCACCCUUCACAGCAGGAACUCGGGUUUUAUCCUUCGAAAACAACUCUUGUGAUUACUUCCAGAGUGGAAAAGUGAAAGCCACCACACUGUCCCUCUCUGUGUUGGUUGCCAUAGAAAUGUUCAACUCUCUCAAUGCCCUUUCAGAGGAUGGAAGUCUCUUAACAAUGCCUCCUUGGGCCAAUCCUUGGCUCCUUUUAGCCAUGUCUUUCUCCUUUGGCCUGCACUUUUUGGUCCUAUAUGUGCCAUUCCUAUCUCAAGUGUUUGGCAUCGUGCCUCUUAGUUUUAACGAAUGGCUCUUGGUUCUUGCUGUUGCUUUCCCGGUGAUUCUCAUUGAUGAGAUUAUCAAGUUUGUGAGAAGGUGUGCAACCAGUUUUCUAAAAUCAGAUGCAAGAAAAUCAUCAAAGCUCAAGUCAGAGUGAGCCUAGCUCCCUGGAGAAUGCUUUGCAACAACUAUAUGGAGUCUCCUCCUUUGUAAUUCUCAUGCUUUACUGAAGGUGUUUCUGUGCCUUGAAUGCUUAGCUAUACAUUAUAUGUGAUCAGGAUUCUCAUCCUCAAUCUCAUCAUCUCAUCUUGUAAGUGGAAGAAGCUCUACGAAGCUAUGUAAAAUAGAAGGAAGAUAU